CAGCCGCCGCGGUAAUACAGAGGGUGCGAGCGUUAAUCGGAUUUACUGGGCGUAAAGCGUGCGUAGGCGGCUUUUUAAGUCGGAUGUGAAAUCCCUGAGCUUAACUUAGGAAUUGCAUUCGAUACUGGGAAGCUAGAGUAUGGGAGAGGAUGGUAGAAUUCCAGGUGUAGCGGUGAAAUGCGUAGAGAUCUGGAGGAAUACCGAUGGCGAAGGCAGCCAUCUGGCCUAAUACUGACGCUGAGGUACGAAAGCAUGGGGAGCAAACAGGAUUAGAUACCCGAGUAGUCCCUGUCUCUUAUAA
rnacentral:rRNA from 1 species